UGACAGCUGAUGGCCUUAUCUGAGAAACC
rnacentral:piRNA from 1 species